UGAGUACGAGAUGCUACGGCAUCGAAGCAGUCUAUGUCAUACUUCCAAGAAAAGCUUGCACUGUCAGAAACAGAUAAUGCCUGUACCAUAACCGACACAGGUGGGUAGGUAGAGUAUACUAAGGGGCGCGAGAUAACUCUCUCUAAGGAACUCGGCAAAAUGACUCCGUAACUUCGGGAGAAGGAGUGCCUUAUUUUUAAGGUUGCAAUAACAAGAUCCAAGCAACUGUUUACCAAAAACACAGGUCUCCGCUAAGUCGUAAGACGAUGUAUGGGGGCUGACGCCUGCCCAGUGCCAGAAGGUUAAAGAAGUCGGUUAGCAUUCGCGAAGCUGGUAACUGAAGCCCUGGUGAACGGCGGCCGUAACAAUAACGGUCCUAAGGUAGCGAAAUUCCUUGUCGGGUAAGUUCCGACCCGCACGAAAGGCGUAAUGAUUUGGAUACUGUCUCGGAGAGGGGCUCGGUGAAAUAGACUUGUCUGUGAAGAUGCGGACUACCUGCACCUGGACAGAAAGACCCUAUGAAGCUUUACUGUAACUUGAAAUUGAAAUUGGACUUUAUUUGCGCAGUAUAGGUGGGAGGCGUUGAAAAUAUUCUUGCGGGAAUAUUGGAGCCAUCAGUGAGAUACCACUCUUGUAAUGUUAGAUUUCUAACUUUAUAUCAUUAUCUGGUUAAAGAACAGUUUCAGGCGGGCAGUUUGACUGGGGCGGUCGCCUCCCAAAUGGUAACGGAGGCGCACAAAGGUUUCCUCUGAACGGGUAGAAAUCGUAUCUAGAGUGUAAAGGCAUAAGGAAGCUUGACUGUGAGACCUACAAGUCGAGCAGGGACGAAAGUCGGUCUUAGUGAUCUGACGGUGCUGAGUGGAAAGGCCGUCACUCAACGGAUAAAAGUUACUCUAGGAUAACAGGCUGAUCUCCCCCAAGAGUUCACAUCGACGGGGAGGUUUGGCACCUCGAUGUCGGCUCAUCGCAUCCUGGGGCGGUAGUACGUCCCAAGGGUUGGGCUGUUCGCCCAUGAAAGCGGUACGCGAGCUGGGUUCAGAACGUCGUGAGACAGUUCGGUCCAUAUCCGGUGUAGGCGUUAGAAUAUUGAGAGGAGCCUUCUUUAGUACGAGAGGACCGAGAAGGACAUACCUCUGGUGUACCAGUUAUCGUGCCAACGGUAAACGCUGGGUAGCUAUGUAUGGAGUGGAUAACCGCUGAAAGCAUCUAAGUGGGAAGCCCACCUCAAGAUAAGUAUUCUCAC
rnacentral:rRNA from 1 species